rnacentral:rRNA from 1 species
UGGGGAAUAUUGGACAAUGGGCGAAAGCCUGAUCCAGCCAUGCCGCGUGUGUGAAGAAGGUCUUCGGGUUGUAAAGCACUUUAAGCGAGGAGGAAUGGCUCUGGGUUAGUACCCUUGAGCAGUGACGUUACUCGCAGAAUAAGCACCGGCUAACUCUGUGCCAGCAGCCGCGGUAAUACAGAGGGUGCAAGCGUUAAUCGGAAUUACUGGGCGUAAAGCGCGCGUAGGCGGUUACGUAAGUUGGAUGUGAAAUCCCCGGGCUCAACCUGGGAAUUGCAUUCAAAACUGCGUGGCUAGAGUGUGGGAGAGGAAGGUAGAAUUCCAGGUGUAGCGGUGAAAUGCGUAGAUAUCUGGAGGAAUACCGAUGGCGAAGGCAGCCUUCUGGCCUAACACUGACGCUGAGGUGCGAAAGCAUGGGGAGCAAACAGGAUUAGAUACCCAAGUAGUCCCUGAGCGGGCUGGCAAGGCGCAU